rnacentral:rRNA from 1 species
AACGAACGCUGGCGGCGUGCCUAACACAUGCAAGUCGAACGUGAAAGUCCUUCGGGAUGAGUAAAGUGGCGCACGGGUGAGUAACACGUAGGUGACCUGCCUUUCAGAGGGGAAUAACCAGAAGAAAUUUUGGCUAAUGCCGCAUACGAAGCACGGUUUUAAGACUGUGCUUGAAAGAAUGCCUCUGCAUAUGCAUUCACUAAAAGAUGGGCCUGGGGAACAUUAGCUAGUUGGUGGGGUAAAGGCCUACCAAGGCAACGAUGUUUAUCCGGUCUGAGAGGAUGAUCGGACACACUGGAACUGAGACACGGUCCAGACUCCUACGGGAGGCAGCAGUGGGGAAUAUUGCGCAAUGGGGGAAACCCUGACGCAGCAACGCCGCGUGAGUGAGGAAGGACUUCGGUCUGUAAAGCUCUGUUAAUGUGGAAAAAUGGUAGUUGGUCUAAUAGGCCGAUUAUUUGAUGGUACACAUAGAGGAAGCACCGGCUAACUUCGUGCCAGCAGCCGCCGUAA